rnacentral:ribozyme from 1 species
UGCCCAGCAAUUCCUAUCCCUACCUCCUCGUGGUACUGGCCGGGGUACGAGUAACCUUAGGGAAGAUCUGGUAACCAAUCCCGAUGGGAACUUUGGUCGUAUGCUGACAGGGAAGG